GGGGAACCGCACAUACAGGGAGGGUGAGAAACCCGGGAUGCCGCUGAAGCCACUGCUCCAGGAUCUGACCCACAGGAAGUGUGCUUUGCCGAUCCGCUAGGCGGCGCACGAGACAAUCAAGUUGACACUUUCCAGAUGCCACACAGCUGGGACAGACCUGUGCCCCGGAGCUCAGGACAGCAUUCAGAUGAGCAGGUCCACAGGGUGCAGAGAGAGAGGAGACCCCACCAGCCCUGCUGCUGUCACCUGCCUGGUCCUUGGCGGCCCUGCCGGCAGCUGCUCCCUUUGCAAAGUUCCAUUCGCAUGGCCACCUCCACCAUCAGGAUGCGGUGCAGCCCCUUCCCCUUCUCUCAUACUGUCCCAGUGUCCUCUCCCUGCCUGCCCUCUGCCCUGGGCCUCUCCCUGCUCGCCUGAGCUCCCGCACACAGGUCAGGGAGUGGAGCUCACAGCAGGGACCUGGAGACCAGCCUCGCUCACACAGCACAGCGCCUCUCUGCUGCAGCCCUGUUCCCUGGGUCACCGCGCAUAGUCCUCCCAGAGCCAGCGCAACUGUCCGUGUCCACUGUGGACUCCUGUGUGCUGUUUUUGCGUGUGAGAAAUGUGAAGGAGGCUGCUGGGAGUGUUUAUGCUCAGCUUUGUGUAUGGACCUGUUAUUUCUCUUUCCCGGAACCUGAGAUAAGGGAGUGUUGAUAGGAAAUGGCGAACUUUUCUCAAUAAGCACUGGAUGAGUCUUCUUUUUAGCACUGCAUGAUAUUAGUAUUUGCUCCAAUCCCCACCAGCAUGUGAAAUUUGUUAUCAAUUUCCCUUUUCUGUUUUUGGCCUCAUGAUUGUGCAAUGUUUUCCCAUAAGGUUAUGCUGGAGAUUCCUAAGGACUGACAGUGUGAAAAUCUUAUAAACAUUAAAUGAAUCAUUUUUUAUUUCAGUUCAGAAAAACAGUCCCAGAACUGAGAAGAGUUCAGUGCCUGUGCUUUCAGUUUUCUGGAAAAGUUGACCAUGUUUCCAUGUGCAUGUUGCUCGUGCGCACAUCUUCCUCAGAAGGAUGUGCCUUUAAAUCAAAUGCCUAGUUUUGGACGAUGCAGGGUGGUGAACCUAGAGCCUCAUACCUGCUCCUCCAGUGCCCUACCACUGAGCUAAACCCAGCCUUUGCUCUGUUUAUAAAGAUUGUGUACUGGGCUUGGGAUUCAGCGCAGUGGUUCUGGCGGCUGCAGCGUAAGCACAAGGUACCAAGUUCAAUUCCCAGUACCAAAAAAAAAAAAAGAUUGUGUACUUGCUUCUCUAGUCACUGUUGCUGUUCAGUGGGAAGUUAUUUAGAUACUGUCGAUGUUUAUGCCUAUAAUUUAUAAAAAUACUUCUCCAAGUCCAUGGAGUGUCCUUUCCCUCUAUUGAAAGUGUUCCUUGGGGAGUUUAUUUUUUAAAUUGACAAAGUAUUAUGUAUCUAUUUUUAUACCUGUGCUUUUGGUGUCUUACCCAUUAGGUUUUUGCUAAAAUCUA
rnacentral:lncRNA from 1 species